rnacentral:rRNA from 1 species
CAGUCGCCGCGGGAAUACGUAGGUGGCAAGCGUUGUCCGGAAUUAUUGGGCGUAAAGGGCUCGCAGGCGGUUUCUUAAGUCUGAUGUGAAAGCCUCCGGCUCAACCGGGGAGGGUCAUUGGAAACUGGGAAACUUGAGUGCAGAAGAGGAGAGUGGAAUUCCACGUGUAGCGGUGAAAUGCGUAGAGAUGUGGAGGAACACCAGUGGCGAAGGCGACUCUCUGGUCUGUAACUGACGCUGAGGAGCGAAAGCGUGGGGAGCGAACAGGAUUAGAUACCCCAGUAGUCCCUGUCUCUUAUAC